GGAGGCGUGGCUGAGUGGUCUAAAGCAGCACACUGCUAAUGUGUUGACUCCGAAAGGGGUCCGAAGGUUCGAAUCCUUCCGCCUCCG
rnacentral:tRNA from 1 species